rnacentral:tRNA from 1 species
GCCCCGGUAGUGUAGCCAGGACCAGCAUGCAGGGCUUUCACCCCUGAAACCCGGGUUCGAAGCAAACCUUUGUUUAAAAGGUCUCUGAAAAUCCCGGCCGGGGCA